rnacentral:rRNA from 1 species
AGUGAACGCUGGCGGUAGGCCUAACACAUGCAAGUCGAACGGCAGCACAGUAAGAGCUUGCUCUUACGGGUGGCGAGUGGCGGACGGGUGAGGAAUACAUCGGAAUCUACUUUUUCGUGGGGGAUAACGUAGGGAAACUUACGCUAAUACCGCAUACGACCUACGGGUGAAAGCAGGGGAUCUUCGGACCUUGCGCGAUUGAAUGAGCCGAUGUCGGAUUAGCUAGUUGGCGGGGUAAAGGCCCACCAAGGCGACGAUCCGUAGCUGGUCUGAGAGGAUGAUCAGCCACACUGGAACUGAGACACGGUCCAGACUCCUACGGGAGGCAGCAGUGGGGAAUAUUGGACAAUGGGCGCAAGCCUGAUCCAGCCAUACCGCGUGGGUGAAGAAGGCCUCCGGGUUGUAAAGCCCUUUUGUUGGGAAAGAAAAGCAGCAGGUGAAUACCCCGCUGUUCUGACGGUACCCAAAGAAUAAGCACCGGCUAACUUCGUG